rnacentral:rRNA from 1 species
GACGAACGCUGGCGGCGUGCUUAACACAUGCAAGUCGAACGGUGAAGCGCCUUCCUUUUUGGUGGGUGUGGAUGAGUGGCGAACGGGUGAGUAACACGUGAGUAACCUGCCCCCUUCUUCUGGAUAACCGCAUGAAAGUGUGGCUAAUACGGGAUAUUCUGGGUCUGUCGCAUGAUGGGUCUGGGACAGAUAUUGUUUCGGUGGGGGAUGGGCUCGCGGACUAUCAGCUUGUUGGUGGGGUGAUGGCCUACCAAGGCGGUGACGGGUAGCCGGCCUGAGAGGGUGGACGGUCACACUGGGACGGAGACACGGCCCAGACUCCUACGGGAGGCAGCAGUGGGGAAUAUUGCACAGUGGGCGGAAGGCUGAUGCAGCGACGCCGCGUGAGGGAUGGAGGCCUUCGGGUUGUGAACCUCUUUCGCCAGUGAAGCAGGCCUGCCUCGUUUGUGGGUGGGUUGACGGUAGCUGGAGAAGAAGCGCCGGCUAACUACGUG